rnacentral:lncRNA from 1 species
ACCUGAGUCUAGUAAGAGAGACAAGAGUGCAUAUAAAUGGUUUCACUGAGUAUAAUAAGGGCAAUAUAAAAACAGUAACUAUUAUUAUAGGUUCUCUAUUGCGUGCAGUAUUCCUUUCAACAGCUAUGGGAAUUCAAUGUUAUUAUUUAAUUUUACAGGUGAGGAAAAUCAGAGUGAAACCAUAAUUUGUCUGCUGUUUCAAAGCUAAUUAGUAAAUAUUGUAAUUAAAACCUGCAUGUCUUCUAAGGCCAUGGUACAUGCUGUCCUAGUUUUUCAUAAGGACCAGUGCAUCAUCACUGGCAACAAAUACCAUUUACACAAUGAAUCCCUACCACUUGUGUGUUAUAUAUGUCCUUCACUCAGGUAACUUGAUAUCUUACAAGGAUGCCUUAAUUAAAUACUUCUACAACCAAAAAUACAGUGUUUAUUAUCAUUUUGUGCCUUUUUAUAGUUUUCUUUGAAAAAAAGUAUUGCAUUGUUAUAAACUUUGAAAGGUUGUUUUACAAAAAAUGCUCUAUAUGUUGGUUGAUUUAAGUCAUUGACUACAUAAUCAAACUAAAAAGAUGCCCCUGCUGAAAUACUAACAUCUCCGAAAUCCCAACAUUUACUAAUUCUUUUCUUUCUAUUAGAUAUUUAUUUUUACUUAUUUCCCAAUUUCAAAGUGCCUAUAUUUAAGCCUUGAGUAUCUCAUGAGACACUUCAAAUCCUGACAGAAAUGAUUCUCCUUAGGAGAAAGAAUGAAAGCUUGAGUAUCUACCCAGAAAGUAUUUCUGAAAAGUACUGGUGAGAUACAUAAGUGGGCAGACUUAAAAUUAUGUGCUUUAAUACAUCGGUACUUAUUUAUGUUCUAAGAUAAAUAUAUUUUUUCUUACAUACUCACAAGAGAUAAAAACAAAACAAAACAAAACUGAGGUCUGCUUCACAGCAUACCUACUCUCAUUAAAUUAGAGUUGUAUAUAUGGCUGCUAGUUGCGAUCAAUCUUUUUAUAUCUCUAUAAGACAAACCAUUGAGAGAAGUCAUGGGAACUGAGAAUUAGCCACCUAAAGAAAGCAAGGAAAAGAACAUUCAAAUGAAGAACCACUUCCACAAAGAAAAGAGGUACUUUCAAAGCCACGAUGCAGAAGCAAGAUGGACAUCCAACCCCAAAUUAGGUUAUGAUGUGAGGCCUGAUGAUGCCACAUAUAUAAGAGGGUCUGGUAAGUUUCAUUACUUUAUGUAAUAAGGUUUUCUAGGGAGAGUAGAAUGACCCCAAAGAAUUCUAAAAACCUGAAAAAGCAGGAAAAGACUGGCAAGGAGUUUUUACUAUGAUUAGAGAAUGACCAUCCUGCAUACUGGUUAGAACUGCCCUGUGUGGAAAAUGAAAGAGAAUCUGGGCUUUCCUGGAUGUGGGAUAAAAGGUACAGUACAAAGGGCAAGCUUUAAAAACUGUCAGAAGCCAAACAUCACCAAUGGAGUCAGAUUCUGUAUUGCAGAUAUUUUUUUCCACUAUAUCUUACAAUGACAUCUCCUAUACAAGUUUAAGUUUUAAGCCAGCAUAUCAGAAUGCUUACAUUCCAGAACAACAACCAGUUUUGUCUCUAUAAAACUGCCCACUAAAAGUUGUGAGCUAUCCUUUUGACAUUAUCAAUUAAUGAGAAGAAUUAAACAUAAAUCCAUCUUGGCCAUAUGUAAGAAAAAACACACAAAUUACAAAGGUAAAUCAGUUUCAAGAUGCAUAACAAGUAAUUUAUUGGCCCCAAGGGCAAAAAUGCACCAGUAUAUAUGCUCAUGAUGCACAUUUUCUUUUUCUGAUCUUAAAUCAUUGUGCUUUAUUAUAAGCAUAUUAACAUUUAAUCACUUAUUAGCACUUUUUCCUUAAAGUAUACUAAAUUACAACAUUGCUCUCUGUGGUUAUAGCAAUUAUAAAUUUAAUCUAUGAUCUAAUAUGAAACACUUGAACAUGACUGCUAAAAGGACUUUUCAAUGGGUCUUCAACUAGAUGUUUUUUUCCUUCAUUGAAGUGCUACUGAAAAAAAGGGAAUAAAUAUUAAUUUUAUAAUUCUCUUUUGGAAUUACACAGAUAUAUUUUAAUUUUCUCUUUGAAGGGGUGGCAUUCUUCAUCAUUUUUAGGAGGAAAAUUAUAGCUGAAGGUAUAAAUCAAUUAACUGAAAAUAAAUUUAAUAUAUAGAUAUACAUUAAAGUCAUAGUGAGUACCAUAUUUUUUGGCUUUAAAUUGGAUAGGGGAUAUUUUUAUAGGGGAAUUAUGUUAAUUGCCAUUCUAAAUAACUCUAAUACAAAAAACAUAACUAUAGUCCAUUUUUAUUGUAAUUCCAACAUUUGAUGUACUUAAAUUUAAAAUACAAAAAAAUUAUUCUUCUAAGGAAAAAUCUAAUGUAUUUUAUAGGUGGCACUUAUUAUGUGAAGUUAUUAUCUAAGUAUUUCCAAUAUAAAAUAAUUUCACAUGCCAGUAAACAAUGCAAAUGAGCUUCUGGAUAUAUAUUUUAAUAACUUUGGAAAAUUAUAUGUAUCCUUACAUUUGAAAGAGGACUAUGAAGAUAUUGAGUAAUUUUAACAGAUUUGUUUUUUGAUUAAAAUAUAAAUUUAAGUAUCAGAUGAUGAAGAAAAUAUAUUAAUUUGGGAAAUUUGUGCUCUGCAAAAAUUUAUACAGAACCAUAGUUAUACAUUUUUUGAUAUUAGUUACAUAAUGCACUACUUAAAAUAUUGAUGGAAAAUAAUUUCUUACUAUUGAAGUUUCUUUUGCUGGUUCUAAUAGUCCAGUUGUAAAGUUUCUAACUGUGUUCUAUUUAUGGUAGUAAGGCCUUAUCAAGGUGUCUAAGAGCCCUGUAUUAAUUUUCCUUUCUGUGAUGGAUGAUGUCAUUUUCAUAAGAAUAUAUGUGGAUUAUCAGUACUGUAUUUAAUUUAUGAUCUAUGAUUAAGUCAUAUCUUCUGUCACUUCCUGAUAUUAAGAGAGAGACUUCUCAGAAUAUAAAAAUAGGAAAAAGUAGAAAACAAUAAAUUUAACAAAGAUUUGUCUCAAAAGGAUUUAUAUUUUCUCAGAGAAACACAACUGUCUUUUGCAAUUUUGAAAGUAAUUUCGCAUUCACAUCUUUACUAAAUUUCAGUGAAGUAAUAUUGCCAUAUUAAUUUUGCAAAUGAGAAAAUUGAGCCUUAGGGGGUUAAAUAUAUUUUUGAACAUAUGGACUUAAAUAUUCAUCCUAGCAACAGAUCUAUCACAUGCUGGGCAUGCUCUGAGCACAAAAGGUGUAGACAUAAGCAAACAAAAAGUCUGUAACCUAAUAAGGUUUGCAUUUUAAAAGGAAAGACAAACAGAAAACAAAUGAAUAAAUAAACAUGCAACAUCAAGUACUGGUAAAUAAGGUUAAGAAAAAAAGAAUCCUGGAAGGAGAAAUGAAUAUGACAUGAGAGACAGUAUUACUUAAGAAAGGGUGGGUAGAAAAAGUCUUGAGAAAGUGGCAUUUGAGCAAAAUGUAUUAAGCAAUGCAUUAAACCAUGUGAACAUUUGAGAGAAGAGUAAUCAGCAAAAGAAAAAAAAAAAAAAAGAGAGAGAGACUGAAAGGUCUUGAAUUUGGAGCAUGUUUAGCUUGUUGUAGGUGGAUCAUGAAAUAUCUAUCAUGCUUAUAUUUUUAAAAGUUCACUUUGGUUGAUUAAAAGGAGGCCAAAAUCUAUAUGGUGUGUGGACGGACUGACAAAUCAGAAUAGUCAACAUCCAUAAAUACCUGGUGGUUCCAUCUGAUAAGCAAACAGAUGAAUAUUAAUCAAAUUGUCCCAAAGGGAGGGAGUAAUAAAUAGAUCAUUCUAAACACUGAUUGAGAACAAAAGGAAUUGGUAGACAUUUGACUGAAAAACAAUACUUCUAAUGCAGUGCACUUUUCAUUACUCAAUAUUUCCUCAUAUUUUUAAACAAAAUUUUAUACUCACUGCACAACAGAGUUUUCAAACUUAUUUUCUACAUAUACUAAUAUUAAAGUUAGUAAAAUAAUUCAAAAUUUGAUUUGAAAACUUCAUUCCUUCAAAAGGGCUGUGAUUCUUUUCCAUUAGUGGACUUAAUAGAAAAAAAUAUUAUUUUUGUAAAAAUACACCUGAGACUUUUCUCAGCUUAAAAGCAAAGAUGGAAUUUAACCUUUAAUUUUAUCUUGACAUCACAUUGCAAACAUAUGAUAAAAAUCUUAAAAUUAUCUCUGUAUUUUUAAUGGUUUACUCUUUGAAUCAAUUUUUAGCAAUGUGGGAGUUCCCGUCAGCUGUAACGACCCUAACUAGUACCCAUGAGGAUGCGGGGUCAAUCCCUGGCCUUACUUGGUGUGUUAACAAUCCUUCACUCCUGCAAGCUGUCCUGUAGGUCACAGCUGUGGCUCAGACCCGGUGUUGCUGUGGCUGUGGCGUAGGCCUGCAGGUGCAGCUCUGAUUCAGCCCCUAACCUGGGAACUUCCAUAUG